rnacentral:lncRNA from 1 species
GCAGGUGGGGAGUCAGCCCUUGAGGGGGGUGAGGUUCAGGCCCUUAGACACGUUCUCCCUCGCUGUAGAAAACGAGGGCAGGUCAGAAGCUUAAGUCAUUUGAAAGAUGGAGAAGUCAUUUCUUCACACAGCCCUACCUGAGGGCCUGAGGGAGGGGGCCCUUCCCAAGACCCCUGUCCUUGAGCUUUGGGUGCCCCGCUCCUCCCCACCCUGCACUUGUUUCAGACAGUAAGGGCUUGGCUUGAUCUGAAUGAGGUUUGGGUGCUUUUUUACAGCAAAUCAAAGCCUCUAGCCUCAUCUCCAGGCCUGGUGCUCAGUGGCCCCGGUGGGGGUGGGGGUGGGGAGUGGUCAUG